rnacentral:misc_RNA from 1 species
GUAGGUGAACCUGCGGAAGGAUCAUUAGAGAGAAUCGAGUCCCUCUGCCAAGAGCUGGAUCUCAUCUCCCACCCAUUGUGAAUCUUACCAUUGUUGCUUUGGCGGACCCGCGGGUCCUACCUGCCGCCGGCUUCGGCUGGCGAGAGUCCGCCAGAGUCCACCUAAACUCGUUUAAUUGAUAACGUCUGAGAAAAUAUUUAAUAGAAAAAAACUUUCAACAACGGAUCUCUUGGUUCUG